UACGUAGGGUGCGAGCGUUGUCCGGAAUUAUUGGGCGUAAAGAGCUCGUAGGCGGUCUGUCGCGUCGGUCGUGAAAACUUGGGGCUUAACCCUGAGCUUGCGGUCGAUACGGGCAUGACUGGAGUUCGGUAGGGGAGACUGGAAUUCCUGGUGUAGCGGUGAAAUGCGCAGAUAUCAGGAGGAACACCGGUGGCGAAGGCGGGUCUCUGGGCCGAUAUCGACGCUGAGGAGCGAAAGCGUGGGGAGCAAACAGG
rnacentral:rRNA from 1 species